CUAAGGUUUCUUCCUCCCCAACAAUCCCAAGGCCCAGAGUUUCUUCUGGCCACUUUCUAGUAGGUUUAGGAAAGUAAACAUUUCACCAAUCAAGCCAAGGAUCAGUUUUUCACCUUCCCCAAUGGGUGGGGGUAUCCUUGGACCCUCAGCUCUUGCAACCUCCACCACCAAACAUGUAACGUUGCAUUAGCUAGAGUAACAAGAUACUAUCAUCAUGAAACGAUUCUGCAAAUGGCACCGGACUACAGCCAUAUAGUUUUGAACCUAGAAGAAGACUGAGAGACGGGAGUAGGCAAGAAGGAGUUGACCGGGAUUGGCGAGAUUAAUGUCCAGUUGGCCAGAAAAGCAUGGUUUGUCAUCUGAUUUCUUGGAGCCUCGUGGAGACAUAUGCAACCAUACUACAAGGCAGGACAUUUCUCUGCAUCCAGGUUGAGGCUUGCUACCAGCAGGAACAUGGAGCACUCUGUCAGUGCUACAGAAAAAGAAUGGUCCAUGGACCUCCAGAGCCUUCUGACCAACUACCUGCGAUCUCUCCAGAGCACAGAGAAAGACGAGAAGGAGGAGACAGAGAGAGAGAGGAGGUGCUGACAAGUACAUCACGCGACAGUGUGGGCUGCAACGGAUCCAGUCAAAUUAAGGCCAGUA